GGUACCGAGCGAAGCGGCACUCCUGAUGAGCGAAGAGGCAGGAAGAGAGAAAGAGCCAGUGGGCAUCGAUCUACAAACCUGUCUGCUGAGAGCUUUCGGUGCUGAAAGCUGAUCGUAGAUCAUUAUGGUGGUCAUUAGAUUCCAACGUUCCCUAUACGGUGAGUAGGUGCUGUGAUCUGAGGACCAGGACAUUAAAAGUGCACUAGACUAGAUGG